rnacentral:rRNA from 1 species
GGGUAGUAACAUUAAAACCUAAAGAAUUUGGCGGUUCUUAAACUUACUAGAGGAACCUGUCCUAUAAUCGAUAGUCCACGAGUCUAUUUACCUAUUCUUGUAAUCAACUUAUAUACCGCCGUUUAGUGAACUAAAAUAAUAGUUUCUCUCAAUUAAUUAGUUAAGAAAAUCAGGUCAAGGUGUAGUUUAUGAGUAGGUAGAGAUGGGUUACAAUAAUAUAUUAAAUGGAUACUUUACCUUAUAGUUA